CGAGUGGCGGACGGGUGAGUAAUGUCUGGGAAACUGCCCGAUGGAGGGGGAUAACUACUGGAAACGGUAGCUAAUACCGCAUAACGUCGCAAGACCAAAGAGGGGGACCUUCGGGCCUCUUGCCAUCGGAUGUGCCCAGAUGGGAUUAGCUAGUAGGUGGGGUAACGGCUCACCUAGGCGACGAUCCCUAGCUGGUCUGAGAGGGUGACCAGCCACACUGGAACUGAGACACGGUCCAG
rnacentral:rRNA from 1 species